GUCACUUGCCAGCCACCAGCCGUCCUCGUAGCAUACACCUGCGCUUUUCACCACUAUGUCCACAAACUCUGAAGCUCCUGCUGAGGAUCGCCUGCGGAUCACCGUCGUGUACUGUGGCUCCUGAGGUUACGCCCCUAAGUUCCGCCUCCUGAAGGAGCUCCUGGAGGCGGAAUAUCCAGACAAACUUGAGAUCGUAAGCGAGAACACCACUGAAAUCACCCAUUUCUUCGAGGUCACUAUUGGGUCGCGGCUGGUGCAUUCUAAGAAGAGGGGUGAUGGCCACGUGGACAGCGAAGAGAAGCUGGCUCGUGUGAUGGCUGCCGUGCGGGAGGCGUUAGCGGCUUAAUGAGGACUGCCGAGGCGACCCGGCACAGACGAGACGUGUGUUUCAUGAUGCUUUAAACCUCAAACCCAGACCGGGAGUGGACGAGGCGGAAAAAUUUACAACACGACUAUUCUGUGAAAAGUGGGUCAUCUCUGAGCAGAGUCUCUCUCUCUCUCUCUCUCUCUCUCUCUCUCUCUCUCUCUCUCUCUCUCUCUCUCUCUCUCUCUCUCUCUCUCUCAUAGAUAUGUUGUCUUGCAUACUUGAACAUAUUCAAUAUACUGUAGUCUUGUUCUGAGCUUUCUUAUAACCUCAAAUAUGAAUUGCUUCUAAUUUGACAGCUGAGAAAAAGAUUUUGCAAAUACACAGUUUAUUUUUUGCAUCUGGGAUUGUCAAGAAACUUUGUGACUUCAGUAUUUACGAUUUCCUAAUGUAGAAACAAGAACACGCAGACAAAAUUGCAACUCUACUUCAGUUCUGAAGAAUAGUUUGAGGGAAAGACGCUGAAAGAGAUGCUAGGGGCUUAGGUGGCGCGGCGCAUGUAGAAGAGAGGUAACCCAGGACAUCUAACUACGUAACUCGGUAUCGAUGCAUUCUUUGUGAAGACGUAUGCCUCUCUGUGUAAGUUAUACGAAAGAUCCGGAAGACUAUAUAUGACUUGUCGUUUUUUAUCGUCCGACAGCCAUUUUUCAACCAAACAAUCUCUUGAAGUCAUGUUUCGAGUGUUGUCGUUGCGGCAGCGCAGUAAGAUGGACGGGUAGCCGAACACUAUGUCGUAGUUAUAACGGACUAGCAUCUCGGUGGUUGCUGCGUCGUAAUGGGUCCUGAAGUCUUCUUGAGGACGAACGUUUGUAUAGGGGAUGUGAAAGGUGCAAGGGGUCAUUUCUUUCCGGCUGCUGGUGUGGUACGGGUAGCAUUCGGCGCCCCUCAUGUGCUUCACCACGUCCGUCGCCGAGCCUGUGACCGUCAGCAUCACGCCCAAGCACCACGCGGCAGUGAGAUAAUGAUACAUUUUUAUCCUGGCAAGGAAAAGUUUAUAUCCUGUUAUUCUGAGGAUGCGUCAUGACGGUUGAAAGGAAGUGUGAAAUAAAAGAAACGAGGCAAACAAGAACAAAAAUCCAUAGACGUAAUUAUGCAAGUAUAAUGCUUCCUUUUUCACCUCCACGUCUUAUGCGCUGCAGAUGUUUGUAAUACGCUAGUGAAGCAAUGAAUAUUCAUUGCAUAUAAUUAAGUGAUGGCAAGUUUGCCUUUUGGGAUGCAUUGCAUUCGUAUAGGAUAUUUUAUCUUCACUUUACCUUAAGCUGAUGUUGAAGAGAUUCUUCCUGAACACGACGAUGGUGACCCAUCAUUGUUUGCGAGACAAGGCCGAGGCGUUGCCACAAGCAUUCACUUUGUUAGUUGUGAUGUUACGAUCCAUCGUCCCCAGCAGAUCCCUUCUUCUCCAUCCAUCCUUUGUUCCUCUUCUCUCUGUUCCGGAUGACGAGACAGGAGUCUCGUGAAGCACAACGGAACCGACUCCUUGCUAUCCAUUUCUCUGCCAGGCAGACUUAUUACUGUUUCAGUCGCAUAACGUGCUCUUGCCUACCUGUCUGGAUUGCCUCUCUGCUGUAAUCAGCUAAGUUGUUACUAUUUCGUUUGUCUUUUUAUUUUCUUGU